rnacentral:rRNA from 1 species
AGCAGCCGCGGUAAUUCCAGCUCCAAUAGCGUAUAUUAAAGUUGUUGCAGUUAAAAAGCUCGUAGUUGAAUUUCGGGAUCAAUUAAUUGGUCGUGCCUCUGGUACGUACUGAUUUUAUUGGUUUCUCCCUUCUGACGAACCAUGAUGUCAUUAAUUUGGUGUCGUGGAGAAUCAGGACUGUUACUUUAGAAAAAAUUAGAGUGUUUAAAGCAAGCUAACGCUUGAAUACAUUAGCAUGGAAUAAUGAAAUAGGACGUUUGAUCCUAUUUUGUUGGUUUCUAGGAUCGACGUAAUGAUUAAUAGGGAUAGGUUGGGGGCAUUAGUAUUCAAUUGUCAGAGGUGAAAUUCUUGGAUUUAUUGAAGACUAACUACUGCGAAAGCAUUUGCCAAGGAUGUUUUCAUUAAUCAAGAACGAAAGUUAGGGGAUCGAAGACGAUCAGAUACCGUCGUAGUC